CAUGUAGGUGGUUUGGUAUGUCGGAUGUGAAAGCCCUUGGCUCAACCGAGGAAGUGCAUCCGAAACUGCCAGACUAGAGUAUUGGAGAGGGAAGCGGAAUUCCUAGUGUAGAGGUGAAAUUCGUAGAGAUUAGGAGGAACACCGGUGGCGAAAGCGGCUUCCUGGCCAUAUACUGACACUCAGAUGCGAAAGCGUGGGGAGCAAACAGGAUUAGAUACCCUGGUAGUCC
rnacentral:rRNA from 1 species